rnacentral:rRNA from 1 species
GUUGGUGAGGUAAUGGCUCACCAAGACUAUGACACUUAACUGGUUUGAGAGGAUGAUCAGUCACACUGGAACUGAGACACGGUCCAGACUCCUACGGGAGGCAGCAGUGGGGAAUAUUGCACAAUGGACGGAAGUCUGAUGCAGCAACGCCGCGUGGAGGAUGACACAUUUCGGUGCGUAAACUCCUUUUAUAUGAGAAGAUAAUGACGGUAUCAUAUGAAUAAGCACCGGCUAACUCCGUGCCAGCAGCCGCGGUAAUACGGAGGGUGCAAGCGUUACUCGGAAUCACUGGGCGUAAAGAGCGUGUAGGCGGGUUGAUAAGUUUGAAGUGAAAUCCUAUAGCUUAACUAUAGAACUGCUUUGAAAACUGUUAACCUAGAAUAUGGGAGAGGUAGAUGGAAUUUCUGGUGUAGGGGUAAAAUCCGUAGAGAUCAGAAGGAAUACCGAUUGCGAAGGCGAUCUACUGGAACAUUAUUGACGCUGAGACGCGAAAGCGUGGGUAGCAAACAGGAUUAGAUACCCUGGUAGUCCACGCCCUAAACGAUGUACACUAGUUGUUGUGAGGCUCGACCUUGCAGUAAUGCAGUUAACACAUUAA